CCUACGGGUGGCAGCAGUGGGGAAUAUUGGACAAUGGGGGGAACCCUGAUCCAGCCAUGCCGCGUGUGUGAAGAAGGCCCUCGGGUUGUAAAGCACUUUCAGUGAGGAAGAACGCCUGGUGGUUAAUACCCAUCAGGAAAGACAUCACUCACAGAAGAAGCACCGGCUAACUCCGUGCCAGCAGCCGCGGUAAUACGGAGGGUGCGAGCGUUAAUCGGAAUUACUGGGCGUAAAGCGCGCGUAGGUGGCUUGAUAAGCCGGUUGUGAAAGCCCCGGGCUCAACCUGGGAACGGCAUCCGGAACUGUCAAGCUAGAGUGCAGGAGAGGAAGAUAGAAUUCCCGGUGUAGCGGUGAAAUGCGUAGAGAUCGGGAGGAAUACCAGUGGCGAAGGCGGCCUUCUGGACUGACACUGACACUGAGGUGCGAAAGCGUGGGUAGCAAACAGGAUUAGAUACCCUGGUAGUC
rnacentral:rRNA from 1 species